GAAGUGCACUGACAACCAACGACUUGCGGUCGUUUUUUUAUGAAUACACCGACCGAAGUACAACAGCAGGAGGUCAUGUACGGCAUGGCAGAGAUGCCCGAUCUCAUACCACCGACAGGUGCUUUACAACCCAGUCCAGUACUCCCGUACGACCACGGACAGGCAGGGCGAAACAGAUCAGACCUCCUGUCCGCCCCACGAAGAAUGCAGCGAGCCCCCAAACUCGGACAGAUCGGGCGGUCUACGAGAGUGGUUAUUGAUGAUGAGGACUUGGAUGAUAUCAUAAACAAUAACAGAAGCUUCCCGGCAUCUCAGAGAGUAUCACCUGUUGCCUGAUGCGUGACGGACUGUGCCAAAGCUGUUAGGAGGCCAGCACACCAACAGCAGGCUUACACAAUUUAAUCGAACUAAAAUCUCCCUCUCACAUGUUCUCACUUGUCGUCACCCUUCACUGUACAGCUUUUAAGGCUUUCGCCACUUCAAGAUCAAACAAGAGAACUGUGGACUUUUUUUCCUGUUCACUUUAUGCUUGCUCAUCACUUAACUGAUGUUGUGCUUCUGUAGCACUGAAUGAUCCUGUCUGGUGUCCUCUGUGUUGGAUGUUUCAUUUUUGAGGUCAAGAUCUUGAUGAUCUCUAAUGCAACAGGGCUAUAUUUAUUAAAUUUGCACUUUACUGCAGAAUAAGAAAGCUAACCUCAGCAGGUUGGAUUACUCAUCUCCCAAAGAGGACAUUUUCCUGUGAAACUUUGUUAACAUGUAAUGCGCCAUUUGGUAAGACCUGUGGUUACCUCAGUAAUCAAGGUCUACCUUGACAUUUUUCUGAAUGACAGUUCAUUGUAAGGAGUUUUUUGUUAGGUCACUGUUUUUAUGUGCCUGUUGAUUUUAGUUUGAAUUGAAUCAAGUACAAUCUUAAAUGCAUACUGACUGACGAAAUUGUCUAAAUUGAUCUCACAUGUUGGUCAAAGUACAUUGCUCUUAAAAAUGGCUUUGACUUCUAGAUGUUUGCAUGGAAAUUAAUGGAUUUUUGUAAAUUGUUUUGGGGGAGUGUGGUGGAAUGGGAGUAAUAAAGUAUGCAUGAGUAACUUUA